rnacentral:lncRNA from 1 species
UUACAGAUCCCAGUAAAGCAGUAAAGGUUGGGAUCUGAUAAAGAUAGCGUGGUAUUUUAUGUGGGUUCUAUUCAGAGUUUUUCUUAAUGAAGUUCUUUGAAAUCAAUGGUUCUCAAACCUGUGUGUGCCUCAGUGUCGCCUGUAGGGCUUGCUAAAAAGUAGGUUGCCUGGCCUCCAGGCCCAGAAUUUCUGAUUCAGCAGAUCUGAAGGAGAUCAUUUCUAACAAGUUCUCAGUUGAGAGCACAGAACACAUGGACAUAGAAGAUGAGAAUCCGCUUGUUUUCACUCCUUCCUACACAGGUGAGAUAAUUGCUACUACUUGGUCUUAUAGAGAACUGAGAGGAGGUUGUAAUAAUUUAUAGAUUUAAUUAAAUAAAAAUUAUGUUUAUAUAAUUAUGAGGUAGCACAUCAACUCAGUGAGGACAUGAUGGUUUAUUUAGUAAACAUAUUGAGAAAACUGGGUAACUUUUUAUCACAUAAUAUACAUCAACAUAAAUUCUGAGUGUCAUAUUAAUACAGACGUAUAGAACAGGUAUAAAAUGACUUGUACAAAAGCAAAGUUUCUCCUCUAAAUUUCCAAUUUAUUUUUGUAAUUUAUUGAUUUAUAUAGUGUUUAAAUAAUCUUGAAUGGGAAAAGCUUUUCUAAACAUGAACCUGUGAAGACAACCGUAAAAGAAAAUCGACAGUUUCGAGGAAAAAAAUAAAUUCACAAAGAAAUAUUUGUCAAAACCCACAAUAAAUAGUCUUGCUGAUAGAAAAAAGUUUUACAAACUUUCUGAAGGAUAUUUUAACUGCUUAUAUCACAAAAUUUUAGAGUUUUCCUUAUCUUUUGAGAGAUUUCCAUUAUUAUUCUUGGGAAAUAUUUAUGGAUGUACAUAAAUGGAAAAUGUAAGGGUACGCAUCAUAGACUUUUAAAAGCACCAAGCCUUAGGUAACAACAAUGGAGGAUUAGAUGAAUGAAUGAUACACAGUGUGGUAUUAGAGUAUUAAAUAGUGAUUGAAGGAAUGUUGUAGAAAAAUACUUACUGCCAUGAAAAAUAUGGGUAGAGCGUGUAGUGAAAAAAACAGUGCAAAAUGAUAUGUACAAAGUGAUUCUACUUUUUAUUUUAAAAUAUCUGUUUUCAGGACAGAGAUUGGAAAAAAUAUGAAUCAAGAAUUUUAAGUGUUAAUUUACUUCUACAUUGUGGGAUAAUGUGAUUUUUCUCUUUUUUAUGUACCUGCAUUUUCUGAAUAUUUUACAGCAAACUUGUGUUAUUCCUUUAAAAUUAAACAAAGUGAAGCAAUUUGUAUAAUUGCAUUAUUUUUCUCACAAGAAGUUAUAUAAAACCCCACUAGGUCCCAUUCUGGUCCUCAGCUUUGAAUUGUUUCAUUAUGCAGAGGGGAAAAGCUGAGAAUUUAUCUCUGGGGUCCUUAGGAAUUUUCUCUAUGCAAUUUGUAAUGGAUUCGGUUGGAUGUCCAAUAUAAACUUCACUCCAUGGCUCUCCUUCCUCCCUGUCCUCGUUCUUGUGUGAAGACAUAAAAAUAUGACUUUCCAGAAUUAGUUUACAUUUCAGCCCAAAGAAAUGGUUUCAGUGGAAAUAGCUAAAGAGUGUGCUUGUAUCUGUCUUAUUGACUAAUUCUUUUUCCCUUAAUUGAAAAACAAAGAGGAAAGAAGAA